rnacentral:rRNA from 1 species
UACGGGGGGGGCAAGCGUUGUUCGGAAUUACUGGGCGUAAAGGGUUUGUAGGUGGCUUGCUAAGUCAGACGUGAAAUCCCUCAGCUUAACUGGGGAACUGCGUCUGAGACUGGCAAGCUUGAGUGCAGGAGAGGAACGCGGAAUUCCAGGUGUAGCGGUGAAAUGCGUAGAUAUCUGGAGGAACACCGGUGGCGAAGGCGGAUCUCUGGGCCAUUACUGACGCUGAGGAGCGAAAGCGUGGGGAGCGAACAGG